rnacentral:tRNA from 1 species
GCGGGUGUGGCGGAACGGCAGACGCGCACGGUUCAGGUCCGUGUAAGGCAACUUGUGGAGGUUCAAAUCCUCUCACCCGCACCA